rnacentral:rRNA from 1 species
GACGAACGCUGGCGGCGUGCUUAACACAUGCAAGUCGAACGGUAAGGCCCCUUCGGGGUUCAACUAUUGGCGACGGGUUGGUUACCAGUUAACAAACCUCCCCUUUCUCCUGUAUUACCGUUUGAAACCACUUGCUACUCUUGCUAAUUCUUCUUUCCCUCCCUGGGGGUUGUUGGAAGCUCCCGGCGGCAAGGGAUGGCCGCGGGGCUUAUCAGCUUGUUGGUAGGUUAAUGGCUCACCAAGGCUUCGACGGGUAGCCGGCCUGAGAGGGCGACCGGCCACACUGGGACUGAGAUACGGCCCAGACUCCUACGGGAGGCAGCAGUGGGGAAUAUUGCACAAUGGGCGCAAGCCUGAUGCAGCAACGCCGCGUGCGGGAUGACGGCCUUCGGGUUGUAAACCGCUUUCAGUAGGGACGAAGGGUGACUGACGGUACCUACAGAAGAAGGACCGGCUAACUACGUG